AUCUUUAGGAUUGUAACGUUUGUUUUGAUAUUAUGUGACUAAUAGAUAUAGAGACUUGAAUAAGGAACAAAAUUGUGAUAAGGGUAUUAAGUGAAGAUAGUACAUGAACCUAAACUCUUACUUGAAUGAUGAAUGACCUUAUUGGAUAAAAAUUAUUGGUGCAUAUGUUGGAGGAAGAAAGAAAGUACAACCAAAUUACUUGUAAGCAGUGCUUACCUUAACAACCCUAUCCCGAGAUAUUCUCAAAGCCAUCAAAUUCAAUGAUAUUCUUGAGUAAGGGUAUAAUGCUAGUUCUGAUUAGUGAUAAGUCGUUAAUAAUUGAAUUUUUAGAUAUAAGUUUGAUGCCUUAGGAAUACUGAUAAAACCAUAUGUAAAUACGUACAUGCUUUAGAUCAUAAUAAAAAGAUGAGUAACUUAGUACAAAUGUAUAUUUUUCUGUGACCAAAGAAAUGUGUUAUGCAAGGUUUUGAAAUCCAAUCUGCUGACUAAUUGUAUUAUGAAUUAUGAGAUUUCAAAUAUGAAUUUUUUGAGCGAGUCAACGAAAUAGCUUAUUGUUUAGCGCUGCCGACAGAUUUGGAUAGAGUCCACAAUGCUUUAAUGUGUCAAUGCUGAGAAAAUACAUACUAGAUCCUAAUCGUGUGAUUCAACACGAACUCCUAGAGCUUAGAAAUGACCUAACAUAUGAAGGAAGACCGAUUGAAGUUCUCGAUCGACGAGAAAAACAACUUAGGAAUACAGUAAUCCCUAUGGUAAAAGUCCUAUGGGCUAACCAUUCGUCGUCAGAAGCCACUUGGGAAGUAAAAGAUCAAAUGAAAACGAAAUACUCUCACCUCUUUGCUUAGAUGAUGAUUCUGUGAAGUUACUCAUAAUAUGCAUGUGAAUAUUUGACUUUGAAAUUAUGUGCCUGUAUAUAUGUAUAUAUGAGUAAAUGAAAAUAUGAUUAUUGGCUAUCAUUAUUAAGUUUCGAGGACGAAACUUUUUCUAAGGGGGAGAGGAUGUAAUAUCCCGAAAAUUUAAACCUUCCUAAAUUAAUUAAUAAUAAAUAGUGAUUAUAUUUUUCCUUUAAUUAUAAGGUAUGACUAAAUUUUGUUACUCUAUACCCAAGUAAAGUGAUAAUUAAUUCGUUAAAUAAAUAUAUGUUGCAAAUAAUAAUAAAGUUAUGUUAGAUUAGACAUUAACAAUAAAUUAGAGUAAGGAAACAAAGUAGUAAACAAAUUGAUUUCUUUACAAAAUAAUAGUAUUAGGAUUCAAAAAGAAAAAAAAGAAAAGAAAGAAAAGAAAAAGAAAAAAAAAAAAAAAAAAAAAUCAAAAAACAUAUGCUACUGUUUCAUUGUUUUUCCAAAACAACCCGACAACGGAAAUGGUAAUCCAAACCAGAUUUUUUUCACAUAAACAAACUCAACUGCAAUUAGAAACUUCAAUUCAAUUCAAACCCACCUAAAAAUCUGAUUUUUAUACUCAAACCCACCCAAUUUCAGUUUUUCUUCAUCAAAUCAACCCACCAAAUUCAUGAAAUUUAUCCCCCAACUAUGCCUAUAAAUACCCAUUUCUUCCUCCCUCAAUUCACCACCACAACCAUUCCACUUUCUUCGCCGGAAAACCACCACCUUCGCCGGAAAAACGCCUCCAAAACCACCCCCAAAACUUCUGUUUUUGAACCACCACUCUCUCUCCUCUGUUUCGGUCAGCCACCACAACCCCCACCGCAGCACCACUGCCGUCGUACUUCUGCCGCCACACACAACCACCACACCGUCACUCACCCGCACGUUAUCCUCCUUCGUUCGCCACCCUUCCUCUCGCCCAACUCGUCUCUCUUGCUCCCCAUCUCUCUCGUGCUUCCCUCUCUCUCCUCGUGCGCCGCCCAGAAACCACCGGAGUCCCGCGCCUCCAGCAACGCUGCCUCGCCACUGCUGUCGGAGCCCCGACCCCGCGCCCAGCCAGUCUCUCUCCUCUGCUUUCUCCUUUCGGUCCUGCUCAAUUGAGCAGAGAUUAAACGGAAAGGAUAUUACAGCCUCCCCCGGCUUUCAAGGUUAUUAAGCAGGAAUCCAGGUAUGAGCAUAGCCAUUGCAAGUGCGCUGUUAAUAAGGAACAUGUUCAAGGGAAAGUGGCGGUAUCUGGUGUUGGAGAAAUUAUUAUUAUUAUUUGGGUCGAGUAUUUAUGUAUAGAUAUCAAGGACUAUUUAAGGUUGCAUUGUAUUAGUGGGCCAUAUCCCACAUGCUUAAGUUCCAUUUCCGCUGCAAGUAUGUGCAAUUGUGUUUAAUUAAGGUUAUGAAUUUUCGGGCCGUUACAUUUUUUUAGGUUAAUUAGAGUUUUUUAGGAUUUUUUAGGGUUAAUUAACACUAAUGACUAACGGAGUUAACCGCCGUUAGUCAUUAAGUGCAUUAUUUGUCAUUUUUAAAAAAAUUUGGGGUAUCUGGUGAAUUUUUUUAAAAGGUAGGGGUAUCUGGUGAAUUUUUAAAAAAGGUGGGGUAUUUGGUGAAUAAAUUUUUUUUGUCAGGGGUAUUUGGUGAAAAAUCCGUUUCAAUAAUCUAAAUGACAAUUUCUAAUUAAGAACAUUAAUCCAAUUCUAUAACUUACUAUUCAAUAUAACCAGAUAAGGCUUUCCAUUAAUCAAAUGAAACUAAUAAAUUUUAUUGAACUAACUUAAGAACUUCUAAUCAUAAUUCUU